rnacentral:sRNA from 1 species
AAGGUCAGUGAAAAGUCAGAAGCAGCAGUGAAGCUGAGGAACACAGAAGCAUCUUCAGAAGAAGAGUCAUCUGCUAGCGGGAUGCAGGUGGAGCAGAAUUUAUCAGAUCAUAUCAAACUCUCAGGAAACAGCUGCUUAAGUACAUCUGUAACAGAAGACAUAAAAACUGAGGAUGACAAAGCUUAUGCAUAUAGAAGUGUACCUUCUAUAUCCAGUGAGGCUGAUGAUUCCAUUCCAUUGUCUAGUGGCCAUGAGAAGCCCGAGAAAUCAGACCCAUCCGAGCUUUCAUGGCCAAAGUCGCCUGAGUCAUGCUCAUCAGUGGCAGAGAGUAAUGGUGUGUUAACAGAGGGAGAAGAGAGUGAUGUGGAGAGCCAUGGGAAUGGCCUUGAACCUGGGGAAAUCCCAGCGGUCCCCAGUGGAGAGAGAAAUAGCUUCAAAGUCCCCAGUGUAUGUGGCAAUAUCCAUUUUUUACCAUAUUCAUUAUAUGGUGAGAGCACAUUUUGAAAACAACAUGCUGUGCACUGAAAUCCUCCUUUAGGGCACAGAUAAAUAACAUUUUACAUUAAUGGGUCUUAAUCAUAUUCAUUCAAUAACUGGGAGGUAAGCCUCCUGUGAGCUGUGGCUCACAUAGUGAUAAUUUAGCACAU